GCCUUCCUGGCUCAGUUGGUUUAGAGCGCCAGUCUCAUACUUCUAUGAGGGAUCGUUGGAUUUCGUAAUCUGGAGGUCGUCAGUUCGAUCCUGACGGAGGGCA